AAACACAGGUCACUGCGGUCCACGGUC
rnacentral:sRNA from 1 species